rnacentral:lncRNA from 1 species
UUUUCCUUUGGAAAAUUCAUAACCUUUAUCAGAACAAGAAUUAAAGCUUAAAACAGCACCGUCAAAAACAUACAGUAUGUCUAAAAUUGGCCAUUCACCUCUCCGUGGUCAGUACAUGGUCAUUUUGGGGUGCCUGCCGAUCGCCUAUUAGGGAUAGCCGUAAAUUAUUUGUGCCUACGCUCUUAAAGGACACCUGAUAUGUUCAUUGUACCAACUAUAAGUAUAUAAUUAGUAGCCCUUUUAAUUUUAAAUCAAAAUAAUAUUAAAAAUACCUCAACUACAUAUUUUACUAAACGUCAUAAUUAACGCCA